UGAGGGGGGGCUGCUCCUAGUACGAGAGGACCGGAGUGGACGCAUCACUGGUGUUCGGGUUGUCAUGCCAAUGGCACUGCCCGGUAGCUAAAUGCGGAAGAGAUAAGUGCUGAAAGCAUCUAAGCACGAAACUUGCCCCGAGAUGAGUUCUCCCUGACUCCUUGAGAGUCCUGAAGGAACGUUGAAGACGACGACGUUGAUAGGCCGGGUGUGUAAGCGCAGCGAUGCGUUGAGCUAACCGGUACUAAUGAACCGUGAGGCUUAACCUUACAACGCCGAAG
rnacentral:rRNA from 1 species